AACGCAGCGAAAUGCGAUACUUGGUGUGAAUUGCAGAAUCCCGUGAACCAUCGAGUCUUUGAACGCAAGUUGCGCCCGAAGCCAUUAGGCCGAGGGCACGUCUGCCUGGGCGUCACGCAUCGCGUCUCCCACACACAGUACGCCCAAACAAAAGGAAGCUGUGAUGCUUGGGAUGGAUAUU
rnacentral:rRNA from 1 species